rnacentral:rRNA from 1 species
UGAGGAAUAUUGGGCAAUGCCCGCAAGGGUGACCCAGCAACGCCGCGUGGAGGAUGAAUGUCGUAAGAUUGUAAACUCCUGUUAGAGGGGAAGAAUAGUACCGGUUGGACCGGUAUAUGACUGUACCCUCAGAGAAAGCCCCGGCUAACUACGUGCCAGCAGCCGCGGUAAUACGUAGGGGGCAAGCGUUGUCCGGAUUUACUGGGUGUAAAGGGCGCGCAGGCGGGAUAAAAAGUCAGUGGUGAAAUCCUACAGCUUAACUGUAGAACUGCCUUUGAUACUUUCAUUCUUGAGUUUGGGAGAGAGAGACGGAAUUCCAGGUGUAGUGGUGAAAUACGUAGAUAUCUGGAAGAACACCAGUUGCGAAGGCGGUCUCUUGGUCCGACACUGACGCUGAGGCGCGAAAGCGUGGGGAGCAAACA